rnacentral:rRNA from 1 species
AUGUGGAUCACACUAGUACUAUUUCAGUAUUUCUUGCUUGCUUGUUUUCUUCUUCUUUCUACUGAAGUAGUAUGCUUCGACGGGAGCAUCUGCGCAGAGGGUCAGGGAGUGGGUCUCAGAGCUGGCUCAUCCACUUGGAGUCAAGCAGAGACAGAAGUCAUCUUUUGUGUCUGUAUUAAGUCACAUAAAAAUCACAUAACUUUCUCAGUGCCUAACAUUGUAUUUAAGCUAUACUUUGUUGUAAGUUCUUUCUUAUAUUAG